rnacentral:rRNA from 1 species
AACGAACGCUGGCGGCAGGCCUAACACAUGCAAGUCGAGCGCGCCCUUCGGGGUGAGCGGCGGACGGGUGAGUAACGCGUGGGAACGUGCCCUUUUCUACGGAAUAGCCUCGGGAAACUGAGAGUAAUACCGUAUACGCCCUUUGGGGGAAAGAUUUAUCGGAAAAGGAUCGGCCCGCGUUGGAUUAGGUAGUUGGUGGGGUAAUGGCCUACCAAGCCGACGAUCCAUAGCUGGUUUGAGAGGAUGAUCAGCCACACUGGGACUGAGACACGGCCCAGACAGAGAGGGGGGGCAGGAGUGGGGAAGAGGGGACAAGGGGGCCCACGCUGGUCGACGGGGGGGGGGGGAGGGAGGGGGGUAUAAGGGUGCGAAAGAUCCGGGAGCGGGGAAAAGAAGGGGGGGAAAAGCAGAAGAAGCCCCGGCGAACUAGGGGCCAGCAGCGGGGGUGAUAAGGGGAGGAGCACAGUUCUGAAC